CCAGACUCCUACGGGAGGCAGCAGUGGGGGAUAUUGCACAAUGGGGGGAACCCUGAUGCAGCGACGCCGCGUGGGUGAAGAAGCGCCUCGGCGCGUAAAGCCCUGUCAGCAGGGAAGAAAAUGACGGUACCUGAAGAAGAAGCACCGGCUAAAUACGUGCCAGCAGCCGCGGUAAUACGUAUGGUGCAAGCGUUAUCCGGAUUUACUGGGCGUAAAGGGAGCGCAGGCGGCGCGCCAAGUCUGAUGUGAAACCCCGGGGCUCAACCCCGGGCAUGCAUUGGAAACUGGCGGGCUGGAGUGCCGGAGAGGUAAGCGGAAUUCCGUGUGUAGCGGUGAAAUGCGUAGAUAUACGGAGGAACACCAGUGGCGAAGGCGGAUUGCUGGACAGUAACUGACGCUGAGGCGCGAAAGCGUGGGGAGCAAACAGGAUUAGAUACCCGCGUAGU
rnacentral:rRNA from 1 species